rnacentral:rRNA from 1 species
GUUGUUUGGGAAUGCAGCUCAAAAUGGGUGGUAAAUUUCAUCUAAAGCUAAAUAUUGGCCAGAGACCGAUAGCGCACAAGUAGAGUGAUCGAAAGAUGAAAAGCACUUUGAAAAGAGAGUUAAACAGUACGUGAAAUUGUUGAAAGGGAAGCGCUUGCAACCAGACUUGCGCGCGGCGGUUCCCCCUUCCUUUUGGUUGGGUUAUUCCGCCGUGUCCAGGCCAACAUCGGUUCUGGGGGUCGGUUAAAGGCCUGGGGAAUGUAUCUACCCUUCGGGCGUAGACUUAUAGCCCCGGGUGUCAUGCGACCUCCCGGGACCGAGGAACGCGCUUCGGCUCGGAUGUUGGCGUAAUGGUUGUCAGCGACCCGUCUUGAAACACGGACCAAGGAGUCUAACAUCUAUGCGAGUGUUUGGGUGUCAAACCCGGAACGCGGAAUGAAAGUGAACGGAGGUAGGAAGCUUCGGCUGCACUAUCGACCGAUCCUGAUGUCUUCGGAUGGAUUUGAGUAAGAGCAUAGCUGUUGGGACCCGAAAGAUGGUGAACUAUGCCUGAAUAGGGUGAAGCCAGAGGAAACUCUGGUGGAGGCUCGCAGCGGUUCUGACGUGCAAAUCGAUCGUCAAAUUUGGGUAUAGGGGCGAAAGACUAAUCGAACCAUUAAAAAGUUAC